UUGAUUGUAAUGCUAUAUUACUGAUAAAUUUAUUAUACAUUAUAAUAAGUAAAUAAAUUUUGUGUAUUUAUUUACCACAUAACUUGUCUACAUAACAAUUAAACUACACAUCACAUAAAACUUUAUAUCUGAAAUACUUAAAGGCUUAUAUUAGAAAUCUUUUUGUUAUCACAUUUUUUGUCAUUAUUUUUUAAUUAUAUUUCCACAAUAGAGUAUAUUUUCAUUUUUUACUGAAGUAAUUUUUGAUCUAGAUAGAAAAUUGCUGCUAAAGUUUUUGUAUUAUUUUUAAAUUUAAUAAGAACAAUUUGAAAAUUUUAAAUAAUUUUUUAUAAUUUCUUUUAUUAUUUUGUAAAUGUGUAUAAUAUAUCCUUAAAUUAAAAGAACUAUUAUAGUUUAAUAUUCAUUGACUUUCUAUAUCACAAAGUCUGGUCCUGUUAAAAGCUUAUCAUUUUUCUAUGAACAUAUGCGUUUAACAGUCUUCUUACUGUGAGUGCUUUAUCAGUACAGGUGAGAGAGAUUGACCGUUCUUUGGGUCAAAAUAUGAGUCAUACAGCAUUUAUUCUAUGUGUCUUUUCAAUAUCGUAUCGACUUUAUUGAUUACUUCAUCGACUCGAUCGUUUUACAUGAUUAUAAGAGCAAUUUUGUUAAAUGUUUUAAUCGUGUCACGUAACAUCAUUCAUUGAGUAAUCACUGCAAAUUUUUUCCAUUCAGUUUUAAAAUAUUUAGAUUUUAAAACUGAAUGGAAUGACUGAAAUGUAAUAAUAAAAAUCAAUGAAAAUUGAGUUCUGAAUAAAUUUGAUUUUGACAAUUUUGAUGUUAUGUUAUUACAAAUUAUAAAAUAGUAAUGCAGAAUUUUGCAUGAGAUAUUUUCCAAUUUAUGGCAAUUUUGUUUACAAAAUUAUAUAUAAUUAAAAGAAGGAUCAUGUAAUUAGUAGAAUUUUAUGUUAAGCAUUUUUAUGGAAAUUAUCAUUAAAAAAAAUAUAUGCAUUAUUUGUUAUAUUUAAUAUAUUCUUCAAUAACAGAUAGCACGGCGCGUAUACCAGACGUUAAUCUACUUAAUUGAGGUUCAAUGUUCUUUGACCAAUAGAAAUAAUGCUCUGACACUGUUUUAAUCAACCGAUCGGUAUUCGUUGAAUAUGCUUCUACGUCGCACAUGUUAAAUAAAAUCUGACACCAAUAAAUGUGACUCAGUGCAGGCAGCCACGUGAUCACGUUACGCUUCAGUGAAGAAUCUUCGUGCACACGAGAAUCAGGUGUGCGUUGCAUUAAUUACCUUGACAGAACGCUAAGAUGAUUUCUCACAUUUUUCGCACAUCUAUGCAGCAAUUGUAUUUUACACUGAUGCAGCACGAUAAACAGGUUGGACGCGAACGCGUCCCGGAGAACAGGUCCCGGAGCCUCUCCUCAUGGGCCCAGUCACUCUCCACUUCGGAGACUUUCAUACUAAAACUCGCCGCAAGGCGCGACUCAGCGAACAGGCCCCACCCGGUCGGUUUCCCGUUCGAGUAGAAUUUAUCGGAGACGACGUCAUCAUCUCGCGACAUCAUUCGCUUUCUGUUAACAAGAGGCACCUACAACGAACUGAUUCUUAGUUGCACCGGCCGGCAAUCUUUUCGUCUUUAUCAUAAACUACAUUAUAUGUAUUAUGGAAAAAGUAGUUUUAAAGCUAGAUACUAAUCUAAAAAUAAUUUUUUGUUGAUUUAUUAAAAUAACUAUGAAGAAUGUUCAACUAUGAUGAUCAAUAGUUUAAGCGUUCUAUAUAAUUAUUUUGAUGAUCUAACCUCUAAUAAAAAAUUAUUUUUAAUAAAAUACUUUAGUAAAAUAGAUCUAAUGUAAACUGUGUAAACUGAUUACUCCAAAUGAAAGAACGCGUAUCGCACGCUCAUACCG